UACAGAGGUGGCAAGCGUUGUUCGGAAUUACUGGGCGUAAAGGGCGCGUAGGCGGUCUUGUCAGUCCCUUGUGAAAUCCCCCGGCUCAACUGGGGAACUGCACGGGAAACAGCAGGGCUUGAGUUCGGGAGAGGGAAGCGGAAUUCCAGGUGUAGCGGUGAAAUGCGUAGAUAUCUGGAGGAACACCGGUGGCGAAGGCGGCAUCCUGGACCGGUAUUGACGCUGAGGCGCGAAAGCCAGGGGAGCAAACGGG
rnacentral:rRNA from 1 species